rnacentral:tRNA from 1 species
GGAGAGAUGCUAGAGCGGUCUAAUAGGCACGCCUGGAGAGCGUGUGUACCCCACAAGGGUACCGUGGGUUCGAAUCCCACUCUCUCCGCCA